UAUAAAAACAAAGUAUGUUCUGUCCCUCUCAAUAUAAAUCUUUGCUAUAAAAAUUCUGUCAAAUUUUAUGAAAUUUACUAAACAAAUGAAUUUUCUCUAUGACUUUAAUCAACUGAAUCCCUCGGGCAUGUAAUGUUGAUAAUAUGCGUACAUUUGCAUACAUGAUCCACACUUGAUGAUUUUUAAAAUACGCAUUAUGGAGUAAAUCUAAAGUACAGUGUAGAUGUAGAAUUAUGUUACGUUUAAUUUUUUUAAUUUCAAUGUGAGUAAAUUUGCAUUCAUGAGAGAGAGAAAACAAUCUUUCUGGGCUGUUUAGGAAAGUUUAUAUAAAUGCAUUUCCUUUUGUGUUAGCAAAAUCAGUUAAUUAUACCAUCUUGUACGUCAUCAGACAGAGGUCAAGGGCACUGUUAGACAACAUGAUGAAGUACUGCCUGAUACACCACACCGAACAACAAAUUCUGCUGAGUGUGAAAAUUCUUAUAAUGAACCGUUACUGAAUACUAUUUUACUUUAUAUUAGUCUAACAAAAAUAUUGGCUUUGAAUUAAUAUUGUGUGUAACCCUUUGAAUUUGUUCAAAUAUCCUUAAUAUAUCCUUAAUCUAUCCUUAAUCUUUAAUAGCUAAAUUUCGUAUUUAUAUUUGUCCCUAUUAUUUAUAGAAUUACAUCAUGCAAUGUUCUGUGGAAAAAAUAAAUACAAGUAACAAGCUGUUCCUUGGACUGAGUCAUACAUGAUCUCAUUUACCUUACAUAUUUCGAUUCAAUUUAUUGACCAGAAAGAAAAAAAAUCAACUUCAUAUACAAAAGAAUUUUAAUUGAGCGCAAUAUUACAAUGUUGCUUCAAUUAUAGAACUUCCCUUUUGACAGCUUGGAUAUAUGCAUCUUUAAUUUUUAUUUUCCCUCCGUCCAUACAGAACAAAGACGCGUUGUUUACUAUAGUUGAUCGGCCGUCUUCUCCUUCGUCUGUGACCUCUUUUUAUCCUUACCUUGUGUACCGUCAGGUGGUGAUUUAGGCGAUUUUACGAGAUGACAUCAUCUUUGUUUAUGUAUAUAUACUAUAUCUAGAUGAGUCACAUGACUAGGGUCGUAGCUAUAUAUAUAUAAAGCGAAAUCCUUCACGCUAGACAUAAACGCAACCCAAAACAAAGCGAAGCGCACUAUCGUAUUUUUAUUUUGAGAGAGGCGCAAUGUCGAGUUAUUUCAUUGAGGACUGUUUCGACGAAGCAGACGUUUACAACAUGGACCAGCACAAGUUCAUCCAUGCUGGUCACAGUGGAAAGGGACGGUCCAAGCGUGAGGUCCAGCAAAGGACCAAUACUUACGACCCCAACGGCCAUACCCGCAAAACUAUGCAGAAACUGGUGAACAACAAACAGAAGCAACAACAACCACAGAGCUGAGGACUCCCACCAGGAAAUGUUUGGCCAGAUUUUCCCUAAGAUGACAAGAUAACGAACAACGGCAUAAAUAGGAUGAAUUGCGACUCUGGAUCAUGAUCACGGAACAAUCCGCGCAUGCGUCCUCUGGAGACAGGCAUGUGGAGGAAGUUGACACCCUUUGUCCUUCCAUUCUUAUAUCCACUGUCUUUGUUGUACGAACACUCUAUUCUUCUGACUACAAAAUAAAAUGUAGUAUAUAUUAAAAA